AACGAACGCUGGCGGCAUGCCUAACACAUGCAAGUCGAACGAGACCUUCGGGUCUAGUGGCGCACGGGUGCGUAACGCGUGGGAACCUGCCCUUAGGUUCGGAAUAACUCCCCGAAAGGGAUGCUAAUACCGGAUAAUGUCUUCGGACCAAAGAUUUAUCGCCUUUGGAUGGGCCCGCGUUGGAUUAGCUAGUUGGUAGGGUAAAAGCCUACCAAGGCGACGAUCCAUAGCUGGUCUGAGAGGAUGAUCAGCCACACUGGGACUGAGACACGGCCCAGACUCCUACGGGAGGCAGCAGUGGGGAAUAUUGGACAAUGGGCGAAAGCCUGAUCCAGCAAUGCCGCGUGAGUGAUGAAGGCCUUAGGGUUGUAAAGCUCUUUUACCCGGGAUGAUAAUGACAGUACCGGGAGAAUAAGCGCCGGCUAACUCUGUG
rnacentral:rRNA from 1 species